GUGAUAUAUAUUUUAUUUUGGAUUUGAACCUUGUUUUCAAAAUUGUAUUUACUAUUCAUACUUCUACUCACUGAGCUAUCAGCUAACUUAGUUAUUCAUCAUUUCUAAGUGUUAGAAGGACUUAGAGUGGACUCAUGGCAUAGUGGGGACUCAAUUGCAUGGACCUCUAGGACAUUCAUUUAUUUUGUUUUAGCUUGUUAUGUCGGUUUUGAGCAUACGUUGUGGUUGAAUUUUAUUUAGAAUUAUUUUAUUUUAUAGGCGGGUUGUGUUCCAUUUAGUAUAUAUUUUUGAAAGUUGGUUAUGGCUUGUUUUGCCAUACAUACUUGUGACAUGUCAUGGGAUUGAGCUUUGAUUUAUUUUUACUGGACUAUUGUUACAGUUAUUCUAUGUGAUUAUGGAUUCGUGUUUAGGCUAACGUGUGCCUUGGGCUAAGGCCCUGUGGGCCACGGCUAGUCAUACCCAGGUUUGGGGUGUGACAGUCUGUGCCAUAUAUUUAUUAUUAUUAUUAUUAUUUGGGGUUUUAUUUUUCUGAAAAACACAACUUGUUUUGAGAAAACAAGGUGUAGUGGGUUUUUCAUAUUCUACCUGGUACUGGUUUGUGCUUAUGACAUGUUAGCGAUGAACACAACCCGCUUAAUGGGCAACAUCCUAGCCAGGGGCUGUUGCAUUAUUGAACUAACUGGACAUUAUUGAAAUAUCUUCUGGUUCUAGUUUUGGGUAAGGAUUUGAUUUGUCAUUCCAGUCUUUAAAGAGCUUGCUGGUCACUAGAUGUACAUUCCACUACCUAAACUCUACACUGCCUGGGUUGUUACAGGUGAUGUCAUGCUAAUUAAUGGAAAAUCUUCAUUUUGUCUCAAACAAACUUCUAGAUAUUUUGGUUCCUUAAUCCCAUUUUUAAGCUGUAUAAACUGGUUAGAUAUGUAGUUGUAGCCUUAUAAAUAUGGUUUCAAAACAUAGAAGGAAAUAUCUUUAAUGUGUGGUUACCUAUCCCUUGCAUAUUUUCUGUGCAUCUCAAUUCUAUUGCUUUGAAAGUACAGUUGUGACUAGGUUUUUCAAAAUCCAUAAGCCUGUUAACUAGAUAACUAUGGAGUUCAAACAAAGACACCCCACUUGUCUCCACAAAGCAUAGUCAAACCACUUUCUAAUUUCUUCAACCCAUUUUUGUCUGCUUGGCAGUGGCUUAUUUAGAAAUUGUUAAAGGUAAAGAUUAUCCUUUCUCACUAACCAAAAAAAAAAAAAAAAAAAAAAAAAUUUAGCAUUUGUUAAAAGCAUCACAUUUUUUUAACUAGUAUUCCUUCAAAAAAAAAAAAAAAAAAAAAAAAGAAAGAAAAAAGGAAGCGAAAAACCUACUAAAACCAUAGAAUACUUUUCAAGCAAUAAUCUUGGUGUUUUGGGCUUUAAAGCAUUGCACUAUCACCAAUCAUGUUUUGAGCUUAAAAUACUUAACUAAACUACUAUUGCAAGAUUAUUGCAAGGGUGGUUAUGUGGGGAAUCCUAGUCCAUUUUGCAAACCCACCUAAAAUUUUCCCAAUGUUCAUCAAAGUCUAUAGUACAUUUUGUUCAAAAAAA